rnacentral:RNase_P_RNA from 1 species
GGAGGUGGACAGGGGAUCGCCGGUGAGAGUCCCUCUCACGGGAGGAAAGUCCGGGCUCCAUGGGUCGGGGAGGUCGUUAACGGCGACCCGGGGCGACUCGAGGGAAAGUGCCGCAGAAACCACACCGCCGAUGGCCGACGAAGCGGUCGGUCCGAGAGGAACCGACGGUGGAGGCACAGGCAAGGGUGAAAUCGUGGGGUAAGAGCCCACGCGCGACGGCCGGGCAACCGGCGGCGGGGCAAACCCCUCCCGGAGCAAGCUCGAAUAGGGACGGCGUUUCGGUUGGCUCAGCCGAGCAAGCCCUCGGGUUUCCGCCGUCCGGGUGAGAGCGCUUGAGCGGCGCAGCAAUGCGUCGCCUAGAUGAAUGGUCCCCGCCCGCCGCGAGGCGGCGGGAACAGAACCCGGCUUAUCGUCCACCCGGAGCU